AAAAAGGUCAUUGAUGAAGAUAGUGCUUUUGUGUAGGGAUCCCUCUCCUGCCUGAAGGACAGAGACUGUGUGUGGCUUUCUGGUAACAAUGCUCUGAGGGGCCUCCCCUCUGGGAACUCAUCGUUCAGAGGAAAAGUGAGGAUAAUGGCCUUCUCAGAUGUCCUAAUCCCUGAAACCUGUGAAAAUGCUACUUUAUGUGGCAGGAGGGACUCUGCAGAUGGGAUGAAGUGAAAGAUCUUGAGAUGGGGAGAUCAUCGUGGAUCACUGAGGUGAGCCCAAUAUAAUCACAAGGGACCUUAAAAAGAGGGAGAUCAGAGAAUCGUUCAGAAGAGGACAAGUAACAAUGGGAGAAGAGGCUGUGGUGAUGCAACCAGAAGCUAAGGUGUGCAGGCAGUCUCU
rnacentral:lncRNA from 1 species